rnacentral:lncRNA from 1 species
AGUAUUUGUAUGCUAUGCCUCUUGUUUGGAUUCUAGAAACAAUAGCUUCACUCCAUUGUAUAAAGUCAGCAGCUUGUUUCAUAAACAGAGAGGAACGUCGAGUUAUGAUUUUUAUCACUCCGAUAGUGUUCGAUAAUUUAUUAAUGUUUCUAACAUGCAGUCUUAUUCAUUCGAAGGAAACUAGUACUCGUGAUUAUUAUUGUUAUUAUUAUAGCUCCUUUCCUAUAUCUAUAUGUUACAUGAACUAGAAAAGCCGGCACUAAAAAAGAGAACCUUGAGGAGAUCCUUCCAUGGUAGUUGUUCUGAUGUCGUUGUAGUGCUUUUGUGGAUCUGUAUGGUUCACCUUGAGAUGGCUCUAGUGUUCUCACGACUAACUCAUGAAGAAGAAGACCGUGAAUCCGCAGGGAAAGCAGCGCACGAUGGAGGGACAGAUUGUGGGGAACAAUUUUCCGUUGGAAUGAAAGGUGCAGAGUUUUGCAUUGGCAUUAGUCCAGGAUGGUUAAGAAACCUUAGCAUAUCUGCUGAAUCAUUAAUCCCAGGCAAGCCAGCUCCUAGAACAUGUGCAGGCAGAAACUGUUGUUCGCCCAUUUGCAUUCCCACACCCAUUGCUAGACCCAUCUGAGAGUAGUUCGGCCCCAAAGGCAUCAUCAUUGAUGGUGUAACAAAUCUGUUACCCAUCGUCAUCAUCUACCAUCCAACAUUUAUACAGGAACUUGUGGCCUCGCAUCAUCUGACUCGUCAUCUAGACUCUGCGUUGAGACAAAACCUGUCUUCAGACAAGAACCUAACAAGAUAGACCAAACCAAAAAAAUUGUGAAUCAAUCCCUCUUACACUGCUUAGAUACAUCGAUCCUUCACUGUCUUCAGUGAAACCUACGGAGGAAGUGUCAAAGCCCAAUUUGAACGACCUAUCAGCAACCACGGAUUGCUCAUCAGGAGGUAUAAACUUGAUCUUCUUUCGGUUAUGAUAAUCAACCAUCAUCCUCUUUGAUGAAGAAGCUUUCAAAGUCUCAGAAUCGUCAACAUGUUUAUUGCUUUCCAACAUGUUUGUUUCAUGGGCAGC